rnacentral:tRNA from 3 species
CGGGGUGUAGCGCAGUUUGGUAGCGCGCGUGGUUCGGGACCGCGAGGUCGUGAGUUCGAAUCUCACCACCCCGACUA